rnacentral:rRNA from 1 species
CAGUCGCCGCGGUAAAACGGAGGGUGCAAGCGUUACUCGGAAUCACUGGGCGUAAAGGACGCGUAGGCGGAUUAUCAAGUCUCUUGUGAAAUCUAACGGCUUAACCGUUAAACUGCUUGGGAAACUGAUAAUCUAGAGUAAGGGAGAGGCAGAUGGAAUUCUUGGUGUAGGGGUAAAAUCCGUAGAUAUCAAGAAGAAUACCUAUUGCGAAGGCGAUCUGCUGGAACUUAACUGACGCUAAUGCGUGAAAGCGUGGGGAGCAAACAGGAUUAGAUACCCCGGUAGUCCCUGUCUCUUAUAC